rfam:Coniosporium apollinis CBS 100218 chromosome Tnknown supercont1.72, whole genome shotgun sequence.
ACAUACGGCCAUAGAUCAAAGAGAAUAGUGGAUCCCGUCCGCUCUCCAGCACUUAAGCCUUGAAUCGGUAGGUUAGUAGUUAGGUGGGUGACCACUAGCGAAUACCUACUGCUGUAUGUU